UAACACGUAAACAACCUGCCUUCAGGAUGGGGACAACAGACGGAAACGACUGCUAAUACCGAAUAAGUUCCAAGAGCCGCAUGGCCCAUGGAAGAAAAGGUGGCCUCUACCUGUAAGCUAUCGCCUGAAGAGGGGUUUGCGUCUGAUAGCUGGUUGGAGGGGUAACGGCCCACCAAGGCGACGAUCAGUAGCCGGUCUGAGAGGAUGAACGGCCACACUGGAACUGAGACACGGUCCAGACUCCUACGGGAGGCAGCAGUGGGGAAUCUUCCGCAAUGGGCGAAAGCCUGACGGAGCAACGCCGCGUGAGUGAUGACGGCCUUCGGGUUGUAAAACUCUGUGAUCCGGGACGAAAAGGCAGAGUGCGAAGAACAAACUGCAUUGACGGUACCGGAAAAGCAAGCCACGGCUAACUACGUGCCAGCAGCCGCGGUAAUACGUAGGUGGCAAGCGUUGUCCGGAAUUAUUGGGCGUAAAGCGCGCGCAGGCGGCUUCCCAAGUCCCUCUUAAAAGUGCGGGGCUUAACCCCGUGAUGGGAAGGAAACUGGGAAGCUGGAGUAUCGGAGAGGAAAGUGGAAUUCCUAGUGUAGCGGUGAAAUGCGUAGAGAUUAGGAAGAACACCGGUGGCGAAGGCGACUUUCUGGACGAAAACUGACGCUGAGGCGCGAAAGCGUGGGGAGCAAACAGGAUUAGAUACCCUGGUAGUCCACGCCGUAAACGA
rnacentral:rRNA from 1 species